GGAAGGGUACCGAAGUGGUCAUAACGGCACCGACUCGAAAUCGGUUGUGGGCGCAAGCCCAACGUGGGUUCGAAUCCCACCCCUUCCGCCA
rnacentral:tRNA from 5 species